rnacentral:rRNA from 1 species
UACGUAGGCAGCGAGCGUUGUUCGGAAUUACUGGGCGUAAAGAGUGUGUAGGCGGUGUUCCCAGUCUGUUGUGAAAUCUCCCGGCUUAACUGGGAGGGUGCAGCGGAAACUAGAAUGCUAGAGGGUGGGAGAGGUAAGCGGAAUUCCUGGUGUAGCGGUGAAAUGCGUAGAUAUCGUGAGGAACACCAGAGGCGAAGGCGGUUUCCUGGACAGUUACUGACGCUCAGGCACGAAAGCAUGGGGAGCAAAAGGG